rnacentral:tRNA from 1 species
GGAGAGAUGCCGGAGCGGUCGAACGGGACGGUCUCGAAAACCGUUGUAGGUUUUUCCUACCCAGGGUUCGAAUCCCUGUCUCUCCGCCA